UAGAGGGGGGAAGAGGCGUUCUAAUCAGUCGUAAAUGACCGUUACGGCUUCAAAGGUCUUUUCACCGCGCUCAGCACUGUCUCGCGGGUCUUCCUCCGCUGUGCCCAUCUGUUGAAAAUAGCACCGUCACGUGCCUCUUUUAGGAGUUUUUCAUGCACAAAGCAUCCUGAACGUUUGUGGGUGCUUAGGAAUGACUGGACUUUCUUGCCCAAAGCAAGGGAAACUCAAGGACCUACCCUGCUCCAGAGCCCAUUCCAGUUUGCCUUCAGUUAGCAGGAAGCUGCAAUCAACGGUGGCUUUUUGUUAAUGAGAGCACAGGUGGUUUAUCAUGAGUCGUCAUUCACCUAUCCUAAAUCACGUGUGCAAUCGCUAACCAGAGCUACAUGGUGGCAGGUUUCGUACCAGGAGAAACCUGCUACUAGGUGACAUAUUAAGGUGACAUACUAGGAUUUUCUGUGUAGUGUUGUCGAUGUCCUGUCUCUUUAAGAUUAGGUUGUGAUUGGUUGGGUGUGACUUAGCUUUCUGUUUCCUGAAUGCAUGCAAGCUGUCCAGAGCCAGAGUUUGUUGCAGUCUUGUCUGAGUAAAGAAGGCUUCUAAACCUACUUUGUCUUCUGUUCCUUCAGACCCAAGUUCAGGCCAACAAAGUGACUGCUUGGCAGAGCUGGAAGAAGGGUCAAGGGGGAACCAUGGAUGAUUAUUGUAUCAAGUUGUAUAUAAUUACUGUAUCUGGAAGCUCGAGACGUGACUAUGUAUUUCCUUUCCUUUAUGUUUAAAUAAAAAAUCAAAUUACGCCCCACCC